GAUGAACGCUGGCGGCGUGCUUAACACAUGCAAGUCGAACGAUUGAAGCUGGAGCUUGCUCUGGCCGAUUUAGUGGCGGACGGGUGAGUAACGCGUGGGUAACCUGCCUUAUACAGGGGGAUAACAGUUAGAAAUGACUGCUAAUACCGCAUAAGCGCACAGGAUUGCAUGAUCUGGUGUGAAAAACUCCGGUGGUAUAAGAUGGACCCGCGUCUGAUUAGCUGGUUGGUGAGGUUAAACGGGCCCACCAAGGCGACGAUCAGUAGCCGGUCUGAGAGGAUGAACGGCCACACUGGAACUGAGAUACGGUCCAGACUCCUACGGGAGGCAGCAGUGGGGAAUAUUGGGCAAUGGGCGAAAGCCUGACCCAGCGACGCCGCGUGAGGGAAGAAGGUCUUCGGAUUGUAAACCUCUGUUGACAGGGAAGAAGAAAGUGACGGUACCUGUCGAGGAAGUCACGGCUAACUACGUG
rnacentral:rRNA from 1 species